GAUGAACGCUGGCGGUAUGCGUAACACAUGCAAGUCGUACGAGAGUUUUUAACUCAAGUGGCGGACGGGUGAGUAACACGUGAGAAUUUGCCUUUAGGAGGGGGAUAACAGAGUGAAAACGCUGCUAAUACCCCAUAUGCUUUCGAGUGAAAUGGAUUUAUUCGCUUAAAGAGAAGCUCGCGGCUGAUUAGCUUGUUGGUAAGGUAAUGGCUUACCAAGGCGACGAUCAGUAUCUGGUUUGAGAGGACGAUCAGACACACUGGAACUGAGACACGGUCCAGACUCCUUCGGGAGGCAGCAGUGGGGAAUUUUCCGCAAUGGGCGAAAGCCUGACGGAGCAAUACCGCGUGAGGGAAGACGGCCUAUGGGUUGUAAACCUCUUUUCUCAGGGAGGAAAUCAAUGACGUUACCUGAGGAAUAAGCAUCGGCUAACUCCGUG
rnacentral:rRNA from 1 species